rnacentral:rRNA from 1 species
UGGGGAAUAUUGCAGCAAUGGGCGCAAGCCUGAUGCAGCCAUGCCGCGUGUGUGAAGAAGGCCUUCGGGUUGUAAAGCACUUUCAGCGAGGAGGAAGGUGGUGAACUUAAUACGUUCAUCAAUUGACGUUACUCGCAGAAGAAGCACCGGCUAACUCCGUGCCAGCAGCCGCGGUAAUACGGAGGGUGCAAGCGUUAAUCGGAAUUACUGGGCGUAAAGCGCACGCAGGCGGUUUGUUAAGUCAGAUGUGAAAUCCCCGGGCUCAACCUGGGAACUGCAUUUGAAACUGGCAAGCUAGAGUCUCGUAGAGGGGGGUAGAAUUCCAGGUGUAGCGGUGAAAUGCGUAGAGAUCUGGAGGAAUACCGGUGGCGAAGGCGGCCCCCUGGACGAAGACUGACGCUCAGGUGCGAAAGCGUGGGGAGCAAACAGGAUUAGAUACCCCU